rnacentral:lncRNA from 1 species
UUGCAUCCGGGACAUGUUGUUGUACCCGACCACUCUUUGGAUAUUAGAGAGUAUUGCCCCAGUUGCCCUAUUCGGAUAGGAGAUUGGAUUAUACCCGUGGACUUACUAGCCUUACGCAAGCUGGGGGAAUUUGAUGUAGUCUUAGGCAUGGAUUGGUUAACCAAGUAUUAUGCCACGAUUGAUUGCAAGAAUCGCACGGUCACUUUUAGAGAACCGGGGUAAGUUGAGGUGAUUUUUAGAGGAUGCCAGAGUUCGCUUUUCGCGAUGACGAUCAGCUCGUCUCGAGCUAGGCAGCUGAUCAGUAGAGGCUGUGAAGCCUUUUUGGCUAGUGUUGUGUCGAGGAGCGAUGAUGAUACGCCUAGACUUGAGGACAUCCCGGUGGUACGGGAGUUUCAAAAUGUGUUUCCAGCUGAGCUACCGGGUAUGCCUCCU